rnacentral:lncRNA from 1 species
UGGGACUCCGGGCUGGCGGAGGGGGAAUGUAGGGCAGAUGGUCCCAACAGGCCAGAGGCCACUGGUGUCAGGCAUCAGCAGCUUCCUCCUCAGAGUCCAGGUCUGCCGCUGCCUUCGUGCCCACGGUCUUCACUCCCUGCGCCGGGACCAACAAUGCCCUGGCUCCUGAGGGCUGCUUUUGACCUGUGCGGGGAGCAGCCCCAACUUGGGGUGGGGUCUUACAGGCUUCUGGACCUGCCUUUUCCUGACAAUUCAGCGGCAAGCCUGCACGAGCUGUGUGCUGCCAGAGUGUCAGAGGUCCUUCAAAACAGAGUGCACAGGACGGAGGAAGUGAAGCAUGUGGACUUCUAUGCUUUCUCCUACUAUUACGACCUUGCAGCUGGUGUGGGCCUCAUAGAUGCGGAGAAGGGAGGCAGCCUGGUGGUGGGGGACUUCGAGAUCGCAGCCAAGUACGGUGGGAGUCACCUGGAGCGUGAAGGGACGUGUCUCAUCCCCAGUGUGUCGGACCCUGGAGACACAGCCGCAGAGCAGCCCCUUCUCAUGCAUGGACCUCACCUACGUCAGCCUGCUACUCCAGGAGUUCGGCUUUCCCAGGAGCAAAGUGCUGAAGCUCACUCGGAAAAUUGACAAUGUUGAGACCAGCUGGGCUCUGGGGGCCAUUUUUCAUUACAUCGACUCCCUGAACAGACAGAAGAGUCCAGCCUCAUAGUGGCCGAGCCAUCCCUGUCCCCGUCAGCAGUGUCUGUGUGUCUGCAUAAACCCUCCUGUCCUGGACGUGACUUCAUCCUGAGGAGCCACAGCACAGGCCGUGCUGGCACUUUCUGCACACUGGCUCUGGGACUUGCAGAAGGCCUGGUGCUGCCCUGGCAUCAGCCUCUUCCAGUCACAUCUGGCCAGAGGGCUGUCUGGACCUGGGCCCUGCUCAAUGCCACCUGUCUGCCUGGGCUCCAAGUGGGCAGGACCAGGACAGAACCACAGGCACACACUGAGGGGGCAGUGUGGCUCCCUGCCUGUCCCAUCCCCAUGCCCCGUCCGCGGGGCUGUGGCUGCUGCUGUGCAUGUCCCUGCGAUGGGAGUCUUGUCUCCCAGCCUGUCAGUUUCCUCCCCAGGGCAGAGCUCCCCUUCCUGCAAGAGUCUGGGAGGCGGUGCAGGCUGUCCUGGCUGCUCUGGGGAAGCCGAGGGACAGCCAUAACACCCCCGGGACAGUAGGUCUGGGCGGCACCACUGGGAACUCUGGACUUGAGUGUGUUUGCCUCUUCCUUGGGUAUGAAUGUGUGAGUUCACCCAGAGGCCUGCUCUCCUCACACAUUGUGUGGUUUGGGGUUAAUGAUGGAGGGAGACACCUCCUCAUAGACGGCAGGUGCCCACCUUUCAGGGAGUCUCCCAGCAUGGGCGGAUGCCGGGCAUGAGCUGCUGUAAACUAUUUGUGGCUGUGCUGCUUGAGUGACGUCUCUGUCGUGUGGGUGCCAAGUGCUUGUGUAGAAACUGUGUUCUGAGCCCCCUUUUCUGGACACCAACUGUGUCCUGUGAAUGUAUCGCUACUGUGAGCUGUUCCCGCCUAGCCAGGGCCAUGUCUUAGGUGCAGCUGUGCCACGGGUCAGCUGAGCCACAGUCCCAGAACCAAGCUCUCGGUGUCUCGGGCCACCAUCCGCCCACCUCGGGCUGACCCCACCUCCUCCAUGGACAGUGUGAGCCCCGGGCCGUGCAUCCUGCUCAGUGUGGCGUCAGUGUCGGGGCUGAGCCCCUUGAGCUGCUUCAGUGAAUGUACAGUGCCCGGCACGAGCUGAACCUCAUGUGUUCCACUCCCAAUAAAAGGUUGACAG